rnacentral:misc_RNA from 1 species
AAGUCGUAACAAGGUUUCCGUAGGUGAACCUGCGGAAGGAUCAUUACUGAAUUGUAAACAAGAGCUGUUGCUGGUCCUCAAGCGAGGGGACAUGUGCACGCUCUGUUCACACAUCCAUUCACACCUGUGCACCCUCUGCAGUUCUGUGGUCCAAGGGGGGCUUUGCUCUCCUGUGCUGCGGAUCUGCUUUUUUAUACACACACGCCGUAAUAAAGUCUUGUGGAAUGUACACCGCGUUUAACGCAAUACAAUACAACUUUCAGCAACGGAUCUCUUGGCUCUC